rnacentral:lncRNA from 1 species
ACUGGUGGGAGCUUGGAAGGAGGGUAGAAGGGAGAAAGAAGCUGAUUUUAUUUCUCCUUCUGUUGAAGUCUCUGGCAGUGGCAGCAGUAGCAGCAGUGGCAGCAGCUGCGGCAAUAGCAGUAGCAGCGGCAGUAGGUGACUGAGUUUCUGCUCAGGUGGAGUUUCAACAGCAGUGGGGGCAGGGAGUGCUCUCGCAGCCUCUGCAGCAGGGCGUUCCUGGGCUCUGGAUCUGGCAGCAUCAGUGUCCGUGACAGGCAGCCCUUGGUGGGAGUUUAAUUUCUCGGCUUCCUGAAAGAUUUCCAAUAACGGCCGUGGAGCAGCAAGUAUCACAGCAGCUUCAGCCACCGAGCAAUCACCGACUCUUUGUGGAUCACACCAUAUUUCCUUUUGUUCAGCCAGCCUUAGGACGGCCCUGAAAGCAGCAGAUCUCACCUGCAUUGGAGGAUGAGACGCCACAUGAAGAAGAAAGAAGACGCCACAGACAGCAGCGCAGUACCACCUUCCAGAGAUGAAACCAGCUGUCAGGCCUCCCAGAUAGUAUCAGAAAGCUGAAGAUUUCCAGAUCGCUGCAUCCUAACAGCAAGGUGCCAGAACCCUGAUUCAACUACCUACUGCCUGUUGAGCAACUCCUACAUAAACUCCUAACUUUAUUGGUUACAGAGACAGAUUUUAGACUUGUCUCCCAUAUCCUGGCUGGCAUCACCAGCAAUAAAGCCUUUCUUCCUGGCAGUACUUGUUGUCUCAGUGAUUGGCUUUCUGUGUGGUGAGCAAUCAGACCUAAGCUGAAUCCCUGGCAUUCACCAACACAUAAAUGUGCAGUUCUGUUUCUGGACUCUCUCUUCUGCUUCAUUGAUCUGUUUUUCUAACUUUAUGCCAAAAUUGCACUAGUUUGAUUACUGUUCCUUUAUAAUAAGCUUUGAAAUAAUGUCAUAUUAGGCCUCCAACUUUGUUCUUCUUUUUGAAAACUGUUUUGGCUAUUUUAGGUCCUUGCAUUUCCAUAAAAGUAUUAGAAUCAGCUUAUCAAUUUCUCCAAAAAAAAAAAAAAAAGCCUACUGAGAUUUUGAUUGGGAUUGCACUGGAUUUAUAGACCAUUUUGGGGAGAACUGACAUCUUAACAAUAUUGAGUCUUCCUCCCAUGAACAAAGUAUAUUUCUUUAUUUGUUUAGGUCUUCUUUAAUUUUUCUCAACGAUGUUGUAUGGUUUUCAGUAUAUAGAUCUUUCAGAGUUUUGUCAGAUUAAUUCUUAAGUAUUUAAUAUUUUUGACCUAAUUGUAAAAGGUAUUAUUUCUUUCCGUUUCAAUUGCCAAUGGGUUAUUGCUAAUAUAUAGAAAUGCAAUUGAUUUUGCCUAUAACUUUGCUAAUAGUUCUAGUAGCUUUUUCAUGUGAAUUCCAUUGGCUAGUCUACAUAGCUCACUGACGCUCUGUUCAUUAAAAGAAUUUUUUCCCUCUGAGUUUCCUUUUAGGUAGCGUCUUUUGCUAUGAUUUCAAUUUCACUUUUUUCCCCUUCUUCAAUAGCUAAUCUGCUACUAAUCCUAUAGUGUUUUUUUCAUCUCAAUAUUGAACUUUCCAUCUGUAGAUGAUUUGAGUCUUUUCUAAAUCUUCCAUGUCUCUAUUUGACCUUUUAAACAUAUAGAAUACAGCUAUAGUAACUGUUUUAAUGUCCUUUUCUGUUUAUUCUACUGUCUGUGUCAGUUCUGGUUUGAUUUCAGUUUAUUGAUUAUUCUCUUCAUUAUGGCUAGUGUUUACCUCCUUCUUUUCAUGAUGAGUAAUUUUUUAUUUGAUGCCAGCCACUAUAAUUUUAUCUUGUUGGGUCUUGGGUUCUUUGCAAUCUUAUAAGUGUUCUUCAGCUUUGUUCUGCAAUACAGUUAAGAUACUUGGCAACACUUGAAUACUUAAAGUCUUGCUUUUAAGAUUUUUUAGGUGGUACUACAGCAGUGCUCAGUUUAGGCAUAAUUAUUCCCCACUACUAAGUUAAGACCCUUCUGUGUACUCUAUUUAUUGCUUCAUGAAUCAUGGUCUUAAAUGUGGCUGGUAAGAAUAGGUACUAUUUCUAGCUGUGUCCGAGUAUCAGACAUUGUUUCUUCUAAUCCACUCAGGUGGUUCUUUUGGCCUUGGGUAAUUUUCUGUCAUGCAUGCACAAAUCAAUACUCAGAAGAAUACUUAAGGAGGUCCCUCUGCAAAACCCUAGAACUCUGUGUGCACAAAUCUCUCCUCUCUGGGAACCUGCUUGUGAGUUCUCACUGCUGUGGUUUUUCCAACCUUCAACUCUGUCUCCCCAACUCAGGGAGGCCUUGGGGCUCCACCAGGGUUCCCUCUCCCUAUAUCUUAGCCUCAAAACUCUUUCACAGUAGUAAAUUUUGGCCACUGUAUGGAUGACAUUAUUUAUGUCUCAUCUCUUAAGUAUCAAAGUAUCAUUAUCCUUAAUUGCCUGGUGUCCAGUACCUUAAAAUUGCUAUUUAAUAUAUUUUGCUUUUUUUUUUUUUUCAGGGAGGAGGGUAAAUCCAAUCCAUCUUGAAUGAGCAUAUGUAUUAGUUUUUAUGCUCCUGAUAAAGACAUAGCUGAGGCUGAGCAAUUUACAAAAGAAAGAGGUUUAAUAGACUUAUAGUUCCUUAUGGCUGGGGAGGCCUCACAAUCAUGGCGGAAGGCAAGAAGGAGCAGGUCACAUCUUACGUGGAUGGCAGUAGGCAAAGAGUUUGUGCAGAGAAACUCACAUUUUAAAACCAUCAGAUCUCCUGAGACCCACGAGAACAGCACAAGAAACAGCACGGGAAAGACGUGCCCCCAUGAUUCAACCAUCUCCCACUGGGUCCCUCCAACAACAUGUGGGAAUUAUGGGAGCUACAAGAUGAGAUUUCGGUGGGGACACAGAGCCAAACCAUAUCAGGGUAGAAUGGUAUUAAAGAAAAAGAUUUUCUUACACUUAUUAAGGCAGUAAGAAAGAUUUAUUCAAGAUUAUUGCAAUAGGUAUCAAGACUGUGCAAUAGGAGACAGGAAAUGGUUGAGCUCAACUCUGAAUACAGCAAAAACCACUGGAGGUUUUUAGCCAGUGAGCAGAAUGGGAGGAGAAGAGUCAGUGGAUGGAAAAUUACUAAGAGGAGAAAUCAAAGGUGGGAGGAUUUUCCCUAAACUGACUUAGCAGGACUCUUGUUACAAUUGGACUAGGCAGGCUGAAGACAGGAUGCAAGGACAAAGCUUGUUGAAAAGAGGCCUCAGAGGAGCUCAUCUAAAAUUUGGUCAAGGGGAGGGUCUUUCUUGGUCCCUCCUCUUGUUCAAGGGAAAAAGAGACAUUCUUCUUUCCUUUGAACAAUAUAAGUCAAUUUCUCAUUUGGUGGCCUUUUUUUCAUUAAGGACAAGCUGAGCCCCCUGCUGAAACUUGGUAGCAGGGCAGCCAGUUGAGAAGAUUUCUAGAUGUCAAGGCAUCUUUAGAUGAUGGGGUGAGGACUGCAGUGGCCAUCCCAGAUCAUGGAUUUUCUGGUUUGCAGUUUGAAUGUCCUUGGUGAUGGCAUAGACAUCAGUGUCACAGUCAUGGUUAUUUUUCCGAGCAGAGUGUAGAAGUGUCCAACUUCAUCUUGAAGGGCUUCUUUAGACAGUCACAAUAAAGAUCUGGGAAGUUAGGUUUUAGUUCUCAGUGAUGCCAAAUCAGGACAGUGGGAGAAAAAUUAAAAACCUCAGUUUGGAGAGUGGUAGCCAGAUAGUAAAGGGAACUAGAAGAACUGAGAAUUUGGUAAGGACUGACAAGCUGUGCAUGAUGACAGGAUCCCGUUCAAUUUACAAGUAGAUAACAAAACCUGAAAGACAAGUACAGGACCAGAAUAAUAACCCAUAAGAAGGUGCUAUAGUUUUUAUAAAAUAUCUUUCUACAGUCAUCCCCCUUUUUUGAUCCAAAUUAACCAAAGUAAGAUUAUUCUUGUUUACAAAAUAAGUCUUGUCUCAUUAUAUUUGACUUACUUAUUUGCAUAAUUGCAGCAAGAAUGGCAACUGACCAGGUAGGCUUAUUUAAGUUUGCAUUGCUGGAACUUUUUACAAGUAAUCUCAGAUUAUGCUUUCAAGAGUUCUUGAAGCUAUAAAGCCAAGUCAAGCACCACCAGGCCUUAUCUGCAAUGCCUAGAGAUUCAGAUGGGUUCUUCUCUUCUUGAGGUCCUAAAAACAUCCUGAGUUUCUUUGGCCUGCCAGAAAGUCACCUUCCUGACUCACCUGUAAGGCUGGGAACUCCAUAAUCCAGUUGGAAAUGCAGAAAUCACCUGUCUUCUGCGUCGAUCAGGCUGGGAGCUGCAGACCGGAGCUGUUCCUAUUCGGCCAUCUUGGAAUGGACCCCCAUGUCUUAUUCUCAAAUAAAACAUUUUGGUCAAAGCCUUGAUUAUCUAAUCAAUUUUUAAAAUUAUGUUCUGUUACAAAAAGGACAGAUUCUUAUCGAACCCAUAUAAAAUAGUAUAUCACCAUUGAUACGGUUUGGAUCUGUGUCCCCACUCAAAUCUGAUGUUCAAUUGUAAUCUCCCAGUGUUAGAGGUGAG